CAGACACGGCCAUUUGGUGUCCGUAGGGAUGCCGGACAAAGCCGGAGGUAACACGGGGAUUCGAACCGGCAAUCCCCACGUUGGUAGGCAAUGGAAUAGACCGCCACACCACCCGGACGCCCCCUGUAGCAGAGCCCCCUGAUAUUUAAAACACGGCAUUUGGACCCAGGAGCUGGAGUCUCCGUAGCAUCUUCUUUCCAGAUGGUUGAUCGAUGGGUCAACCCCUAACCCCAGCGGUCAAUCAACCAACCCCUUGCAUGAUGACACGAGCUUGAAGGAGAUUUGGUAAACAGACAUGCAACGCCUGUCAAGUGAACGGCUCCCAAAGUGUUUCAUGUGUCUGCUGAUGGUUAGAAAGAACGCAGAACUGAGUGUCCUCAGACUUUUUACACUACGCCUUUAUACCGUGAAAGCAGGACCGCUAAAAAAGCAGCCUUUUCACAUUUAAAUGCCGCUGAACUGCCCAUAUCAGUGUAAGAUAUGAGGGGAAAUCAGUUCUGACCACAUCAGUUAGACCCGGCAAUGUCUCGGUUCAGCUUGAAGCAAUCAACCGAGGUAUGU